GCAAGAAUGAUGCAACACAACUAAAAAACUAAUAAUAGCCAAGAAAGGUUAUACAACAACUUUUCAGUCUGUUCUUAGUUCUUUCUUCCAACAAACAACGAUUACAAACUCCAAGUUCAUAAACAUACAUCAGAGUUGAGAGUUGAUUCUCCUGUCAUAAUGCUUUGUCUCUACAAAAUUAAUUACUGUUAGCUUAAUAUGGUUUUAGGAAGCCAAUAAGCAUGAGACAUGGAAGAUCACACAUACAAAACAUACAUCCCUUGAAGGGAAUAAAAUACUAGCAUCACUUGGAUGUAGUGGCGUUCAGAUCGCUUUGGUCUUCAUGGCGGAGACUGUUCUCUCGACUGUAAGCUGCCUUGGCACCCUGAGAUCAGUGAACAGUUUAACAUAUCAAACCAAAAGGAAGGAAAUGCAUGACGGUUCAUGAUUUUGUAUACAAAUAACAAAGGCANUAUAAAAUUAUAAUUUUAAUGAUGAAAAAUCACUCGAUCUUAAUAUCUUGAAUUCUUGCACAAUUAAAGUAUUUCUUGAACAAUUAAAUUAGUUCAGAGGAAAAUAAAUGCAACUAUGUAAAGUUCUUGCAUUUGUACAAACUUAGAAUAGCAAAAUGAAAAGGCAAGAAUGAUGCAACACAACUAAAAAACUAAUAAUAGCCAAGAAAGGUUAUACAACAACUUUUCAGUCUGUUCUUAGUUCUUUCUUCCAACAAACAACGAUUACAAACUCCAAGUUCAUAAACAUACAUCAGAGUUGAGAGUUGAUUCUCCUGUCAUAAUGCUUUGUCUCUACAAAAUUAAUUACUGUUAGCUUAAUAUGGUUUUAGGAAGCCAAUAAGCAUGAGACAUGGAAGAUCACACAUACAAAACAUACAUCCC
rnacentral:lncRNA from 1 species